CCUACGGGGUGCAGCAGUGGGGAAUAUUGCACAAUGGGGGGAACCCUGAUGCAGCGACGCCGCGUGGGUGAAGAAGCGCCUCGGCGCGUAAAGCCCUGUCAGCAGGGAAGAAAAUGACGGUACCUGAAGAAGAAGCCCCGGCUAACUAAGUGCCAGCAGCCCCGGUAAGAAGCAGGGGGCAAGCGUGAUCCGGAUUUACUGGGUGUAAAGGGGGGGCAGACGGCGUUGCAAGCCAGGAGUGAAAGCCCAGGGCCCAACCCCGGGACUGCUCUGGAAACUGCGUGGAUGGAGUGCAGGAGGGGCAGGCGGAAUGCCUGGUGUAGCGGUGAAAUGCGUAGAUAUCAGGAGGAACACCGGUGGCGAAGGCGGCCUGCUGGACUGCAACUGACGUUGAGGCCCGAAAGCGUGGGGAGCAAACAGGAUUAGAUACCCUUGUAGUC
rnacentral:rRNA from 1 species